rnacentral:rRNA from 1 species
GACGAACGCUGGCGGCGUGCUUAACACAUGCAAGUCGAACGAAGAGCGAUGGAAGCUUGCUUCUAUCAAUCUUAGUGGCGAACGGGUGAGUAACGCGUAAUCAACCUGCCCUUCAGAGGGGGACAACAGUUGGAAACGACUGCUAAUACCGCAUACGAUUUAACCUCGGCAUCGAGGAAAGAUGAAAGGUGGCCUCUAUUUAUAAGCUAUCACUGAAGGAGGGGAUUGCGUCUGAUUAGCUAGUUGGAGGGGUAACGGCCCACCAAGGCGAUGAUCAGUAGCCGGUCUGAGAGGAUGAACGGCCACAUUGGGACUGAGACACGGCCCAGACUCCUACGGGAGGCAGCAGUGGGGAAUCUUCCGCAAUGGGCGAAAGUCUGACGGAGCAACGCCGCGUGAGUGAUGACGGCCUUCGGGUUGUAAAGCUCUGUUAAUCGGGACGAAAGGCCUUCUUGCGAACAGUUAG